AUCGCAAUGCCCGAAUUUAAGCUCUAUCUAUUGACUCACGUCUGGCCCGGAUUGCUGCGCGCGCUGAUUAAGCUUUAUGCGGCCUGUAAAAAUAAGAGAGAUAAAAACUGAAGCAGCCGAAGCAGCUCCACUCACCUAGCACGAUUACAACGACGCUCGCCCGCGACCAUCCAUUAAAUACCCAAAUGGCCAAUACGAUUACACUUUACUCUAACCAGCCGCCAGCUACGAUUCGAGCCGCGCGAUCAACGUCACGGCCUCAAUUAGUCAAUAGACUAAAGCCCCCUUCCCUUAUCCCGCUUAUAGCUUCGUUCCCGCUCCCGCCUAAACAGCUGCUCCGCACGCUCCCUUCGGCCGGGGACACGAUUAAGACGCCGAGUGCCUGCCGAGCGGCGGGGCCGUGUGCUUUUGGUUCGUCUGCGUCUGCCAUGUUGGCUGACAUUUUUUUCAAACACGCUCUCAAUAUACACUUGCCCGACAGACACUCAAAUUGUGAGUUCUCUCGCCUGCUCUACGUCUAGGCUCAAUUUCCACCGAGGAAGCUUGGAUUCGGCGAAAUGUGUGAAACACGCCUCAAAUGAUUUUUCGUGUAGAUUUUUGGAAAUAAAUUCGAACACGAAAUGUCACCCAACAAAUCUUUAACCGGCCAUUUCCAACAAGGAGGAGCGCAUAUUCCAGCAGACAAAUUUGGACAAAAUUCUUUGAAAAUGUUCUUGAGGCCGAUCGGAUGGUAA
rnacentral:sRNA from 1 species